rnacentral:lncRNA from 1 species
UCCCUAUUAUAAAAUUUUAGAUAAACUUCAAAUACCACCCCUGUAGUUUCACACUUUCUCAUUUUAAUAUCACGUGGUUUAAAAUAUAUCAAGUUAAUAUCUUAUUAUUUUAUUUUUCUCUUUUUGUCUGUUCCUCCAUUAAUAUUUUGUUCAAUUAUAUGUACAAAAAACUUCAGAUACCUUCCAUAGAUUUAUCAAAUAUUCACUUUAGUACCUUUUAUUUUUAACUUUGUCACUGAUUUAACGAAAAAAAAUAGUAGAGAGAAUAACCAAAAAAAAAAUACAGGGUAUAAAAGUGAUGCACUUUAAAAUACAAAUUACUAAGUGGGAAAGUGCGAAACCACAUAGAUGAUAUUUCAAGUUUUCCUAAUUUUUAAGUAGUACUAGUGAAAUACCCGCGCGAUGCUGCAGAUAUAAAAAUAUUUUUAUUAUAAUUUUUUUUUAAAUAUUUUUAUAUAGUUUUAUAAGUCUAAUUAUUAAUUAAAUAAAAAUUAUAUAAAAAUAAUUUAAUAGUUAAAUCUAUUUAAAUAAAAGUCAUUAAAACUGAUAUAUGCGCAAAGUAAAUUUAUACAACAAUUUAUUAUAUAAAAAUUUAUAUGAAAAUAAUUUGAAAUAAAUCUAUCAAAAUAAUUUAAAAAUAAUAAUAAAUAGAAGGAAAAUAAAAUAGUAGAAGAAUUGUUUAAUAAAAUUAAUUAUAUAUAUAUACACACAUAAACACUAUAUUUUUAAAAUUUUAGUCAUGAAAUUUAAAUUUCGUAUUUUUUUAUACAGCGAUAUUUUAUAUAAUUUAAAUUGCAUCUAUCAGAUUAGAUUUUAUUACGCAAUUUAUUACGCGUAUUAUUAAUAAAAUUAAUUAAUUAAUUUCAUAGAAUUUAGAGAUUUAAAAUUUUAAAAUUUGAAGUUUAAAAUUUGNCUUUAUUAUGAUUUCGAAAAUUUACGAAAUUUAUUUUCUAGAAGUUUCAAACACUCUAGAUCAUAUUUAACGGAGUGGAUCGUCGAUUCGAAAGCUCCAUUAUUAAAAACAACUUAUAAGUACGAGGGCUCCAAUACUCAUGAUAGUAUAGUAGCCACGGCCUAUAUAUAUAAUAUAUAUAUAGAGAGAGAGAGAGAGAGAGGGAGAGAGAGGGGGG